GACGAACGCUGCUUUCGUGCUUAACACAUGCAAGUCGAACGGAAAGGCCCUGCUUUUGUGGGGUGCUCGAGUGGCGAACGGGUGAGUAACACGUGAGUAACCUGCCCUUGACUUUGGGAUAACUUCAGGAAACUGGGGCUAAUACCGGAUAGGAGCUCCUGCUGCAUGGUGGGGGUUGGAAAGUUUCGGCGGUUGGGGAUGGACUCGCGGCUUAUCAGCUUGUUGGUGGGGUAGUGGCUUACCAAGGCUUUGACGGGUAGCCGGCCUGAGAGGGUGACCGGCCACAUUGGGACUGAGAUACGGCCCAGACUCCUACGGGAGGCAGCAGUGGGGAAUAUUGCACAAUGGGCGGAAGCCUGAUGCAGCAACGCCGCGUGCGGGAUGACGGCCUUCGGGUUGUAAACCGCUUUCGCCUGUGACGAAGCGUGAGUGACGGUAAUGGGUAAAGAAGCACCGGCUAACUACGUGCCAGCAGCCGCGGUGAUACGUAGGGUGCGAGCGUUGUCCGGAUUUAUUGGGCGUAAAGGGCUCGUAGGUGGUUGAUCGCGUCGGAAGUGUAAUCUUGGGGCUUAACCCUGAGCGUGCUUUCGAUACGGGUUGACUUGAGGAAGGUAGGGGAGAAUGGAAUUCCUGGUGGAGCGGUGGAAUGCGCAGAUAUCAGGAGGAACACCAGUGGCGAAGGCGGUUCUCUGGGCCUUUCCUGACGCUGAGGAGCGAAAGCGUGGGGAGCGAACAGGCUUAGAUACCCUGGUAGUCCACGCUGUAAACGGUGGGUACUAGGUGUGGGGUCCAUUCCACGGGUUCCGUGCCGUAGCUAACGCUUUAAGUACCCCGCCUGGGGAGUACGGCCGCAAGGCUAAAACUCAAAGGAAUUGACGGGGCCCCGCACAAGCGGCGGAGCAUGCGGAUUAAUUCGAUGCAACGCGUAGAACCUUACCUGGGUUUGACAUGGAUCGGGAGUGCUCAGAGAUGGGUGUGCCUCUUUUGGGGUCGGUUCACAGGUGGUGCAUGGCUGUCGUCAGCUCGUGCCGUGAGAUGUUGGGUUAAGUCCCGCAACGAGCGCAACCCUUGUUCACUGUUGCCAGCACGUUAUGGUGGGGACUCAGUGGAGACCGCCGGGGUCAACUCGGAGGAAGGUGGGGAUGACGUCAAGUCAUCAUGCCCCUUAUGUCCAGGGCUUCACGCAUGCUACAAUGGCUGGUACAGAGAGUGGCGAGCCUGUGAGGGUGAGCGAAUCUCGGAAAGCCGGUCUCAGUUCGGAUUGGGGUCUGCAACUCGACCUCAUGAAGUCGGAGUCGCUAGUAAUCGCAGAUCAGCAACGCUGCGGUGAAUACGUUCCCGGG
rnacentral:rRNA from 1 species